rnacentral:rRNA from 1 species
AUUGAACGCUGGCGGCAUGCCUUACACAUGCAAGUCGAACGGCAGCACGGGGCAACCUGGUGGCGAGUGGCGAACGGGUGAGUAAUGCAUCGGAACGUACCUUUCAGUGGGGGAUAACGUAGCGAAAGUUACGCUAAUACCGCAUAUUCUGUGAGCAGGAAAGCAGGGGAUCGCAAGACCUUGCGCUGAUUGAGCGGCCGAUGUCAGAUUAGCUAGUUGGUGAGGUAAAGGCUCACCAAGGCGACGAUCUGUAGCGGGUCUGAGAGGAUGAUCCGCCACACUGGAACUGAGACACGGUCCAGACUCCUACGGGAGGCAGCAGUGGGGAAUUUUGGACAAUGGGGGCAACCCUGAUCCAGCCAUGCCGCGUGAGUGAAGAAGGCCUUCGGGUUGUAAAGCUCUUUCGGCCGGGAAGAAAUCGCACAGGCUAAUACCUUGUGUGGAUGACGGUACCGGAAUAAGAAGCACCGGCUAACUACGUGCCAGCCGCCGCGGUAAUAC